UGUACAUGGUCUUAUAUUUGCGUGUAUUUCGUUUGUUUGACUCGUUCACUCUAAGAAAAAAAUACAAAUCAGAACCAAAAAUUUUGUAGACUGACACAAAUCAUGGCAUCAAGAGAGGAUUGAAGUAUAGUUAUCAAACAAAGUACACAUAAACAAAGUGAUACACACAAAAGCACAAUCACAGAGAUAGAGAGAGAAAUAGAGACCACUCGUCUUCACGCCUCUCUCUCUUUCCCGGCAAUUUCACUUUACCUUUCUCUCUAAGCAAAAACCCUUCAUGUGACCAUUUCCCUUUCCUCUCCUCCAUGCAUCACUACUCCGCCGCCGUCUCCGGCGAACUUAUUAAAUCACCUCCCUCAACUGCACCUCUCCAACCACUUUUUGACCUCAUCACAAACGUCCUCUCUCUCCUCCUCCUCUCUUCCCUCAACGUCCGUUCCUUCAUCGGAAAAUGGCAAAUUCUCCACUCAAAACUCUUCUCCCUCAACACCUCUCUCUCCUCCUUAUCUGAAUCUUCUCACUGGUCUCAGAACCCUCUGCUCCACACUCUCCUCCCUUCUCUCCUAUCUAAUCUCCAACACCUUAAAUCUCUUUCUCACCAAUGCUCAUCCGCUUCUUUCUCCGGCGGAAAACUCCUCAUGCAAAGCGACCUCGACAUCGCUUCUUCCUCCCUCUCAACUCACAUCAGUGACCUCGGCCUUCUCCUCAGACCUCGGCCUUCCUCCCUCUCAGCACACCGCCGGAAGUAUAAGCAACAUCGCCACCGUGGAAGAUAUAAGAACGAUGCUCGCGGAGGAAGGAGCCGUACCGGUUCUUCUCCCUCUCUUAACCUCCGGUUCAACGUCGUUACAGGAAAAGGCGGCAAACUUCAUCUCCUUACUCUCAUCCUCUGGGUUCUAUCGUCGUCGACGGGAUUCAUAAUCCAAUUAGGAGAAUUCGUCAAGCACGGAAAUGUGAUCCUGCAACAGAUCUCAGCUUCUUUCUUAGUGAGAUUAACAAUCAGCGAUGGAAACAAACGAGCGAUCGCCGAUUGUUUAGGUUCGUUGAUAAGGUUAAUGGAGUCGCCGAAGCCGAUGGGGUUACAAGAUGCGGCGACGGAAGCGGCGAAAUCGUUGCUCACCGUUAGAUCGAAUCGCAAAGAGCUGAUGAGAGACGAGAAGAGCGUGAUUCGAUUGGUGCAAAUGCUCGAUCCGAGGAACGAUAAGAUGGUUUCGAAAGAGUUUCCGGUGAUGAUUGUGGCGGCGAUUCUCUCAGGGGGAAGCCAUGCGGCGAGGAAGAAGUUUAUGAGUUUAGGAGCUGAUCUUCAUUUUCAAUCUCUGGAUGAAAUGGAAGUUCCCGGCGCCAAAAAGACGUCAGAGACUCGCCGCCGGUAAUCGGCUCAAGAGUAUCUUCGCCAGAGCAUGGAAAGAUCACUAAAGUGACCAGUGAGCAACUAGAGAAGAAGAAAGCAUAGUAAGCAGAGAAGAUGAAGAAUAAGGUUGCAGUGAUUCACAAGAAAGCCAAAGAGAGGAGAAGAUAUUCUUCAAGCAGAAGAAACUACUGCUAAAUACAGAGCCACUGGAAUUGCAAAUAGAAUUUCAAGAGUUAUCAAUUGUAAAGUCUAAAGAUUCUUUCUUAUGUCUUCGAUGGCUUGUAAUCGUGUUUGUGAACUGUUCUUGUGUGUAAAGACUACAUAGUGAAAAUUUUUUCCAUUCUUUUACUUAUACAAUUUUCUAAAGCAU